UACAUGGGGUGCAAACGUUGCUCGGAUUUAUUGGGCGUAAAGGGCGCGUAGGCGGCCACGCACGUCCGUUGUGAAAUCGCCCGGCUCAACUGGGCGGGGUCAGCGGAUACGGUGUGGCUCGAGCAAGCUAGGGGGCAAUGGAAUUCCCGGUGUAGUGGUGGAAUGCGUAGAUAUCGGGAGGAACACCAGUGGCGAAGGCGGUUGCCUGGAGCUUUGCUGACGCUGAGGCGCGAAAGCGUGGGGAGCGAGUCCGG
rnacentral:rRNA from 1 species